rnacentral:lncRNA from 1 species
AUUCAGCAAGUCUUCGUGUAUUGCUGACUUUAUCCCCAACAAAUUGGUGUCAGAAGUGGAACACGUCUCUGCUAUUCAUUUCCAAUUUCCAGAGCUCUGAAUGAGUUGGCAAAUAUCCAUCAUCCACAAAGGGGCCAGGCUGAUUUUAUCCCCAACAAAUUGGUGUCAGAAAUGGUUGCAAUUGGAUGGAACGGAAAUUACAGGUAAGAGGAUAUUUAAAGACCUUCUUUACCUGCUUCUCCCAUCCCCCACACAUUGUAUUUGUUAUUUAAAUGGUGUUUUUCACUAUUUAAUUUUUUUAAGGGGGAUUUUCACUGCAUAAUGUAUUUGGUAGACAUGAUAUUUUUUAAGUCUAAAGUAGACUUUUAUGACUCCUUGGGUUGGAGGAAAGCCUUUGGCAGGCAAUAUUGUGCAAAAUUGUCUUUGGUAGACAAUUCCUCUUUGGUAGAAGUUCACUUGUGGCAGGUGGUAAAAAGAUUUUCAAGCCUUUAGCGGGCUGUCAUGUCAUGUAAUGUACAUGUAAAUGUGGGUUUUGCAGACUAAAAUGGUUUAAAGAAUAAGAAAAAAAAAGAGAGAGUUAGUAACUUACUUGAUGGGCGUCUUGGCUGCACCCCAACCUCUGUUUUUGCUUAAUUUUUAUAUAUCUCUGCUUUUUGGCUUUUGUGUUGUUUUAAAUAAUAUAUAUAUAACUUUGCAAGGGAUUGGAAUUACAGACACAGACAGAAAAGAUGAAAUCCGUUUUAACUACUCUGCAGUGGUAGUUAUAUUUAAAGAAAAAAAAUGUACAGAAUUUGGCUACCAUGUUUUUAAAUGGAAUAAAAACGGAUUUCCCAAUCUAAAAAAUAUCCGUUCCCUAAUCCCGGGGAAAAUUUCAAACAGUAUGUUGCUUGAAUAUAGCCCCUCACUUGUACCCUGUUUAACAAGAGGGGAUAAGAAUUAAAGGAAUAAAAUGAUUAAGGGAAUGUCAAAUGUAUAUGUGAAGGUGAUGAUGAUAAAGAGGAAGAAGAGAUAGAAAUAGAGGUUAUUUAACCCCUUAAGGACACAUGACAUGUGUGACAUGUCAUGAUUCCCUUUUAUUCCAGAAGUUUGGUCCUUAAGGGUUUAAGGGGGGCUACAAAUUCUAGAAGUAACAUGAUUUCUCUGCAUAUAUGUUUGUUUGCAUAAUGAGCCCUUUUUGUUUUUAUACUUGGACAAAAGUACUAUAAGCCCACUACACUUUUUCAUGAGAGUGGGAUGUAUGAUUGUUUAUAUGAUGAGCCCUUUAUUUUCAUAUUGGGACAAAAAGGUCACUUCAUUCAAAACAUCAAACACCACAUGCUUUCUGCCCUGAGUGUUUGUUGCAGAGAAUUUAUGUUGUAAAUUUAGAUGAUUAUAAAUUAGAGAGCAAAAUUUAUAUUUUCAGCGGUCCAACACAUGCUUCAUAUCGUGCUGUAAGCUAACUUGUGCUUGCUACUUGCUUGCUACAGGUACUUGACAUGUUGUAUAUGCUUUAAAUUGUAUGUAUUCUGUAGCAUUGUGAAAAUAUGUAAAUUGUUGUAUGGGGAUGCUGAGAUUUUAUUGAUUGCGACCCAAAACUCUAGAUCCCAUGUGCAGAAGUGGGUUUGAAUUUUUGGUCAUGGAAUGUAGGAUCGGAAAACCAUGGACAAAGGUUUUUACCUGUGUUGUUAUGACUUUUGGGAACUCAAAUUGACCGGUCAAAAUUUUGCCAUGCCUUUAACAUGGAGUAGUAUAAAUAUUUUGAGUCUUUGAGAAUUCUGACAAAUGCAGGUGAUACCAUGUCUGUGUAAUAUGGUCCAAAUGUUUUAUAAACGUAUAAGAGAGAAAUUCUAUUGACAGGGUACAUAUGUUGUAACUGGUCAAUGCAAGUUUAAAAAAAUGUUUAAGUCAAACGCGUUAUAUGGCCGUAUGGGAUCCCUUCUUUAACCCCUUAAGGACACAUGACAUGUGUGACAUGUCACGAUUCCAUUUUAUUCCAGACGUUUGGUCCUUAAGGGGUUAAAAAGACACUCUUAAAAUAAAUUUGACACAAACUAAAACUGGUGUACCUUACAAUAAUAUGUUCUGAAUAUAGCUGUUAAAAGUUUAUUCUAUGUAAAUGGUGAUUGUGAUAAAUGUGUGUUUUGGGUUACUCAUUUUGAAGCAUGCAGUUUAAUUGUCAUGUAUGUUAGUGGGUAUUUUGCUGUGUUAUUUUAAAUUAUAUUUGAAUAAGUUUGUCUCAGUAUUCUUACAGAUGGAAAUGGCAGUGUAAUAAUCUAUUAUAUAACUCAUUUAUUAUUGAAUACUAGUCCAAGAGCAACAUGAGUUGUAAUCUUAAAAAACAAAACAAAACAAAAAAACAAAAAAAAGGGGGAGGCUGUUUUUGUAAGUUUUAGCUGAUUUCCAAAAUUUUGUUGCAAUAAUGUUUUUUUUGCCACAAUUCGACUUUCCUGUCCAGUUGCCAGGUUCUCUGGUCUAUCCUUAAAGCAGUACUGCUUGCAUAGUUUGCAGAAAUGCAUAAUGCACAAACAUGGGAACCUACAUUAUGUCUGUGUUUCUUUUGAGGUUCACCGACUGUGACAUUUAUUAAUUUAUUUUGGAUUGCGUUAAUUGCCUGUCCAUUAAUACGUUUUUUGUAUUGGCAUGUCUGCUGGAUAUCUGCUACAUUCGUUGUGUUCUGUGUUAUAAGAUGACGUGUGUGAUAUUACAAUGAGUAUGAAGAAUAUUUAAAGAAUAUUUGCAUGUCAUUAAUGCAAGCCUUUAGUGUCUUUUUACAACAGAUUAAAACACUGAUCAGCCGACAAGAAAGGGGCCCCUGGGAAAGAAAAAAAAAAUCAUCUGCUUUUCAAACUCGUGGAUCCACGUUUCCAAUUUUAAAUGUCUCUCUCUCUCUCUCUCUCUCUCUCUCUCUGUAUUAUUAGGGGAGUAUUUAGAGUUAACUCUACUUUUAUAGUGCAUUACAUUACUUAUGUCAAAAUUAUAUGGUUAUAUAAAAAGAGAAAGAAAAAAUGAAUGGAUGUAUAGGAUAGGUUUUUUCCAAGAUUAAGAUUCAUCUAGUAUGCCUCAUUGAUUAUAGCAAAAUGAUGAAAUGGUAUUUUUAAUAGAGAUCAGACAAUUUUUGAUGAUAAAUGAGACAAUUCUAAACUACUGUAUUAUAUUUGUAUUGGUAAAUUGAAAGCAUUUUUCAGACCCAGAAGAGAAUAAAUAAUAUAAUAAUUAUAAAAGGAACCAUAUUAUGGGAAGAGGUCACCCAAUUAACUUGCUAAGGGGUUAAACUAAUUUUUGAUAAGCAUAUAAAAUUUAGUUUUUGUGGUUAGACUUUUGAUACUCAAUUUGAACUCAAUUGAGGCACUACAGCCAUAUCCGUGCAGGUAUAGGAAACAGCUGCAAUUUGAUUUUAAUAUUUACAAUAUAUUAGUGUUUUCAUUGUAAUCGGAUAAUGGAAAAGUAGCUAACCGCAUGUCUGCAUUACACCUAUGACCCAGACUGUCCGAUUGCAAACCCUAUAUGAAGACUCUGCUUUCACUGUUUAUGUAUAAACCCCUAGACAACCGUGCUAUACAUACACAAUAAAUAUUCAAAAGCUUAUUAAUAUUAUAUCUGUGUGGUACACAAAGAGGGGUACACAAUGAGGGGGGUGUGAGUUAGGUAAUCUCGACCUUGUAAUGGUAAAUUAAGUAAUUUCUUUAUAUUUAUGAAGUUCUGAAUUUCAUAAAAAUGAAAUAAUACCACAAAUAAAAGAAUAAAAGGUAUACUGGUCAAUCACAUAAAUAUUAAUGAAUAUCUUGAAUUAACAGACAAGAGGCAAAGUUUUGAUGAAAGUAUAAACAAAACUUUACUGGGAAUACAAUUAUCAAGCACACAAAAAACAAAUAUUUUAAAAACACACACUGCUAUAAACAAUACAUUCAGGUAAGAAAUCCACUUAGCUCUAUUCAUGGAGAUUCAGCAGCUUACACAUGAUAAUUCAAUCAGCAUAACACAGAGAACAAUGAUGUGAGUUCCUUGCCACAUGUUAAAUGGAUUUACAUGGGCACCUCUAAAGACACCUGGCUUCUUCCGACCCAGUCAUGAAACUGCUCUCUAGUUUCUGGUAACCCCUUAAAUAACCUCCCAUCUAGUAUCCACCCACAAAGGUAACAUAACCAAUACCCAAUGAUCAUCUCUAGGAGGCGGAUACUACAUGUGGUCAUUUGUGAAAGGAAGUGACUUAAGAAUUCUCAAUACCUUCCUAAAGCACAUGUCUCAUUGACUAUGCGGCAGCCAUCUUUAUUCACUUGACGUCACAGUGCUCACUAGGCCACCUAUAGGUACCUUCCUCCCUAAAGCACAUGUCUCAUUAAAUAUGCAGCAGCCAUCUUCUUGCUCUUAAUGUCACAUAGCUCACUACACCCCCUAUAGGUAUCAUAAGUUAUUGCACAUGAAUGGGAACACAAUAAUAAAACAUUUAUCGUUGCCCAUAACCAAUACAGACCUGCAUAUGGAAUAUGCUUCCUCCUUGUUCACUUUUGGUCAAACUGUUGGUCAGUGACUGGCCCUCUUUGACCCCAACUAAAUUUCUUUGGAAGAUUCAUGAGAAAGGUUCAGCAAGUUGUUUUGAUAUAAAGAAAGAAGGAAACGAGUAUGUUGUUUCAAUCACAGGGUUUACAGUAUUGUGACCUUAAGCAGGCAAGACAAAGAAAUGUGGGAGGUGAUAGGAGAUUGAAUCAGAAAAGUUUUAGAGGCAGAGGUAGAGGAUUUGAUCAAAGGGUCUAACUUUUGUAGAGGUGGCAACUUCAGCACUGUUUUAAUUGUGGAUAGCAGGGGUUCACUCACCUGUCCAACAAGCAUUUAUAUAGUGUAAGUACUUCUCUCAUCCAUACAAAGGCAUUGAAAGGGAAAUUGUGUACACAUUCAUACAGGACAAAUUUCAUGAAUUAUAAGCAAAGCUAAGAGAAGUACAUGUUACACAAGUUAAGGGUUUAACUUUAGUCUCUAAUUUGAGUUUAUCCUAGAUAAUUCAUUUAUUGAUGUCGUACUGAUCCUUGUGUUUGUAUGAUUAUAGAGACCAUACUGGAGUAUUUGUGCCGCCUGAUACUUG